GUUCUGGCUAAUACCCGUGCCAGCAGUCGCGGUAAUACGGGAAGAGCGAGCAUUAUUCAAAAUGAUUAGGCGUAAAGGGUUUGUAGGUUGUUUUUUAAGUUGAAAAGAAAAUAAUAAAGCUCAACUUUAUCUCUUUUUUCAAAACUAAAAAACUAGAGUAUACAUAGAGGAUAAUAGAAUUUUUAUUGGAGGGAUAAAAUCUAUUGAUAAUAGAAGGAAUAUCAAAAGCGAAAGCAAUUAUCUGGGUAUAUACUGACACUGAGAAACGAAAGCUUGGGUAGCGAACGGGAUUAGAUACCCCGGUAGUCCAUGCUGUAAACGAUGAGUGCUAAUAUUUAGAAUAUUUAUAAUUUUUAGAUAAUACAGCUAACGCGUUAAGCACUCCGCCUGAAAAGUACGAUCGCAAGGUUGAAAUUCAAAGGAAUUGACGGGAGUCUACACAAGCGGUGGAGCAUGUGGUUUAAUUCGAUAAUACGCGCAGAACCUUACCAACUCUUGAAAAUUUGAUUAAAAAAUAAUUUUAGUUUAAACAGGUGUUGCAUGGCUGUCGUCAGUCCGUGUUGUGAAAUGUUUGGUUAAUUCCUUUAACGGACGCAACCCCUAUUAUUAGUUGCCACUUUAUUUAAAAUAUAAAAGCACUCUAAUAAAACUGUCAAUGAUAAAUUGAAGGAAGUGGGGAUGAGGUCAAGUCUUCAUGGCCCUUAUGAGUUGGGCUACACACGUGCUACAAUGGUAAUUACAAUGAGACGCAAUAAUGUUUUUAAAUUGGAGCAAAUCUUUAAAAGUUAUCUUAGUUCGGAUUAUAGGCUGAAACUCGCCUAUAUGAAGCUGGAAUCGCUAGUAAUCGCAGAACAGCAUGCUGCGGUGAAUAUGUUACUAGACUUUGUACACACCGCCCGUCACAUCCUGGAAGUUAAAAAUUUUUAAAGUCAUUAAUAAAUAAUUUUUUUUUAUAAAA
rnacentral:rRNA from 1 species